rnacentral:rRNA from 1 species
GACGAACGCUGGCGGCGUGCCUAAUACAUGCAAGUCGAGCUGAUCUUCAUUAGCUUGCUUUUGAAGAUCAGCGGCGGACGGGUGAGUAACACGUGGGCAACCUGCCUGUAAGACUGGGAUAACUUCGGGAAACCGGAGCUAAUACCGGAUAAUCCUUUCCCUCUCAUGAGGGAAAGCUGAAAGACGGCUUCUGGCUGUCACUUACAGAUGGGCCCGCGGCGCAUUAGCUAGUUGGUGAGGUAACGGCUCACCAAGGCGACGAUGCGUAGCCGACCUGAGAGGGUGAUCGGCCACACUGGGACUGAGACACGGCCCAGACUCCUACGGGAGGCAGCAGUAGGGAAUCUUCCGCAAUGGACGAAAGUCUGACGGAGCAACGCCGCGUGAACGAUGAAGGCCUUCGGGUCGUAAAGUUCUGUUGUCAGGGAAGAACAAGUACCGGAGUAACUGCCGGUACCUUGACGGUACCUGACCAGAAAGCCACGGCUAUCUACGUGCCAGCCGCCGCAGUAAUAC